GCCGGAGUGUUGGAAUGGUAGACAACGGGGACUUAAAAUCCCCUGGGCGCAAGCUCGUACGGGUUCAAGUCCCGUCUCCGGCA
rnacentral:tRNA from 1 species